rnacentral:rRNA from 1 species
CCUACGGGAGGCAGCAGUGGGGAAUAUUGGGCAAUGGGCGCAAGCCUGACCCAGCAACGCCGCGUGAAGGAAGAAGGCUUUCGGGUUUGAAACUUCUUUUCUCAGGGACGAAGCAAGUGACGGUACCUGCGGAAUAAGCCACGGCUAACUACGUGCCAGCAGCCGCGGUAAUACGUAGGUGGCAAGAGUUAUCCGGAUUUACUGGGUGUAAAGGGCGUGUAGGCGGGACUGCAAGUCAGAUGUGAAAACCACGGGCUCAACCUGUGGCCUGCAUUUGAAACUGUCGUUCUUGAGUGGUGGAGAGGCAGGCGGAAUUCCGAGUGUAGCGGUGAAAUGCGUAGAUAUUAGGAGGAACACCGGUGGCGAAGGCGGUCUGCUGGACAGCAACUGACGCUGAGGCGCGAAAGCGUGGGGAGCAAACAGGAUUAGAUACCCGAGUAGUC